UCGGUUUGAAUAAUAGACGAUUUACAAAGUAGUUUACUUCCGCAGUUCUCAUUUUCAGGUUUAUCCAUUUAUCCCUUCUUUGAGUCACUCCGCUAAGCACUAAGUCGAUUCUGUAAUAAAACCAAAUAUGCCGAAGGGCUCAAAUUAAGGAAUAAAAUAUAUGUCUAAUAAAAUGACGGGUUUAGUUAAGUGGUUUAAUCCUGAGAAAGGUUUUGGAUUCAUCACGCCCAAAGAUGGUAGCAAAGAUGUGUUUGUGCAUUUUUCUGCUAUCCAAAGUAACGACUUUAAAACGCUGAAUGAAAAUCAGGAAGUCGAGUUUAGCGUGGAGCAGGGACCUAAAGGCCCAUCCGCUGUUAAUGUUGUGGCGCUCUAAGGUAACUAUUAUUACUAAUCAU
rnacentral:sRNA from 1 species